AUUGAACGCUGGCGGCAUGCCUUACACAUGCAAGUCGAACGGCAGCACGGGCUUCGGUCUGGUGGCGAGUGGCGAACGGGUGAGUAAUGUAUCGGAACGUACCAUUGAGUGGGGGAUAACGUAGCGAAAGUUACGCUAAUACCGCAUAUUCUCUCCGGAGGAAAGCAGGGGACCGCAAGGCCUUGCGCUCUUUGAGCGGCCGAUAUCAGAUUAGCUAGUUGGUGGGGUAAAAGCUCACCAAGGCCACGAUCAGUAGCGGGUCUGAGAGGAUGAGGCGCCAGACGGGGAGUGAGACGAGGUGCAGACUCCUACGGGAGGCAGCAGGGGUGAAUUUGGGAAAAGGGGGGCAACCCUGAUCCAGCCAGACCGCGUGAGUGAAGAAGGCCUUCGGGUUGUAAGGCACGAUCGGCGGGGAAAAAAGCGCAUGGAUUAAUUCUCGGUGUGGAUGAUGGUACCGGAAGAAGAAGCACCGGCUAACUACGUGCCAGCCGCCGCUGUAAAAC
rnacentral:rRNA from 1 species